UUGAAGAACGGCAUGCUCACCAUGCAGUCGAACGGUGCUUUAGGGCACAGUGGCGGACGGGUGAGUAACGCGUGAGAAUCUGGCUUUAGGUCUGGGACAACCACUGGAAACGGUGGCUAAUACCGGAUGUGCCCUUCGGGGUGAAAGGUUAACUGCCUGAAGAUGAGCUCGCGUCUGAUUAGCUAGUAGGUGUGGUAAAGGCGCACCUAGGCGACGAUCAGUAGCUGGUCUGAGAGGACGAUCAGCCACACUGGGACUGAGACACGGCCCAGACUCCUACGGGAGGCAGCAGUGGGGAAUUUUCCGCAAUGGGCGAAAGCCUGACGGAGCAAUACCGCGUGAGGGAGGAAGGCUCUUGGGUCGUAAACCUCUUUUCUCAGGGAAGAACACAAUGACGGUACCUGAGGAAUAAGCAUCGGCUAACUCCGUGCCAGCAGCCGCGGUAAUACGGAGGAUGCAAGCGUUAUCCGGAAUGAUUGGGCGUAAAGCGUCCGCAGGUGGCUGUGUAAGUCUGCUGUUAAAGAGUCUAGCUCAACUAGAUAAGAGCAGUGGAAACUACACGGCUAGAGUACGUUCGGGGCAGAGGGAAUUCCUGGUGUA
rnacentral:rRNA from 1 species